CCUACGGGGUGCUGCAGUGAGGAAUAUUGGUCAAUGGGCGAGAGCCUGAACCAGCCAAGUCGCGUGAGGGAGUACUGCCCUAUGGGUUGUAAACCUCUUUUGUCGGGGAGCAAAAGCCGGACGUGUCCGGCUGUGAGAGUACCCGAAGAAAAAGCAUCGGCUAACUCCGUGCCAGCAGCCGCGGUAAUACGGAGGAUGCGAGCGUUAUCCGGAUUUAUUGGGGUUAAAGGGUGCGCAGGCGGAUUUUUAAGUCAGCGGUCAAAUCGUGGGGCUCAACCCCAUCCAGCCGUUGAAACUGGGGAUCUAGAGUGUGCGAGAGGUAUGCGGAAUGCGUGGUGUAGCGGUGAAAUGCAUAGAUAUCACGCAGAACCCCGAUUGCGAAGGCAGCAUACCGGUGCACAACUGACGCUCAGGCACGAAAGCGUGGGUAUCGAACAGGAUUAGAUACCCGAGUAGUC
rnacentral:rRNA from 1 species